rnacentral:rRNA from 1 species
GUCUCAGGUCCGUAUCAGCCUGAAGGCGCCCGAUCUCGUCUGAUCUCGGAAGCUAAGCAGGGUCGGGCCUGGUUAGUAUCUUGGAUGGGGAGACCACCUGGGAAUCCCGGGUGCUCGAGGCU